GCACCCGUAGCUCAGCUGGAUAGAGCGCUGCCCUCCGAAGGCAGAGGUCAGAGGUUCAAAUCCUCUCGGGUGCG
rnacentral:tRNA from 1 species